UGAUGGCAGGGGUCAGAGGAGAAUGGCCAGACUGGUUCGAGCUGAUAGAAAGGCAACAGUAACUCAAAUAACCACUCGUUACAACCGAGGUAUGCAGAAGGGCAUCUCUGAACGCACACCACGUCAAACCUUGAAGCAGAUGGGCUACAGCAGCAGAAGACACACCGGGUGCCAUUCCUGUCACCUAAAGAAGUGGCCGGUGAGUGUAUAUAUAUAUACAUAU